GCCCGCACGGAACUCAGGCGGAAACCAAUUCCCACGUCCGCAAGAAAAGAAAAACCCACCCGCACCGCAACUCCCGCAGCGCCCCCACCCGGCGACCCCACCUGGUCGACCCUUCCUUCUCACCGAGCCGCCGCUCCCCGUGCCGCUUCUCUUCAGAGCCGCCGCCGCUGCUCGCCCUCUCCCUUCCUCCUCCGCCGCUCGCGUCAGUCCGGCCGCCCCCCACUCCGCCUCCUCUUCAGAGCCGCCGCCGCCGCUAGCCCUCUCCCUUCCUCCUCCGCUGCCGGCGUCCGCAUCCCCUCAUCUACCUCUCCCUUCCUUCUCAGCCCGGCCGCCCCACGCACCGCCUCCUCCCCAAGAAGUCUCCUCCAAUAGCCGUUGCUCCUCCCACAGCCCCGCCGCUCCUCUCCUUCGGCACACAACGGCCUUGCGAUGGCGAUUCAGGCGAGGCACUGGUAGCGUGUGAUGGCGGUUCCGGCAACCUGUGUCGACCAUGCAACGGCGGUUGCAAGUUCGUGUGUGUGCACGUCCUCGGUCACCUCGAUGGUCAGCCCCGUGGACUGGAACCGCCGCACUUCCCCCGCUUCUGGUGGUUAAAUUCCUUCCGCGUCUACAAAUAUGCCAAUAGAAGGACGACGACGAGGAGGUGCUGGUGCUUGUCGGGGACAACUACAUCCAUCAAAAGUUCUUUCUGUUAUUUAUUUUGCUCUUUCCGUGAGCAAGUCAUUUAGCUUUUCAAAACUUCUUAGUAUUCUACCAGCCUGCUCUUCAAUCAUACCAAAAUACUACUGCAAUGCCUCCAUGUUGAAGGUACAGUUGAAGGUACAUGUGUAGGUGUAAAAUAAAGAACUUGAUGAAAUGAUCAUUCAUCAUUUUCAGUUUUAGUGUACAUGUGUAUCUCCAGUAAUCAGUAUGUUCCAUCCCAGUCUGCCCUGAUUAUUAAAAAAAUGAAUUAUCACUAAUGAUGAUCAUAACAUGUAAAGAAAUAUGCCAUCAGUAAUCACUAUUUGAUACACCUCAAGUGCUCUGCUCCCUCACCCGCUCACCCUAAAUUACAGAGCAGGAAUUGAUGCACAACUCUCGGUGUUCUUACCCAUGUUGCACUCACACCAGCAAAAGAUAACUAGCAAAAGAUGUGUAUAUACAGUACAUAAACAAAGUUUGAAGGGCUAAACUUAAUUGUCUUUCCAUAUUUCUCCAAGUGAUUUCAAUGUGGCUAAAUUAGGAGAUGUUUUAAAUUCCUUUCUUUUCACGAUUGGUCGCUGGCAGUUAAAAUGAUUAGUGCAAUUGAUCUUGUACAAAUGCCGCUUUGAUGCAUGGUGUUAUUCUGGCUAGCUUUGGUGGAUCAAUAGUCUGUAUGAUGUUUUAUUGUUUGAUUUAAGUUUAUAUUAAAUAAUUCAGAUUAAGUCAGACUUUCAAAAACUUCUAACGAAACAUAAUAUAUGUCCCGUAGUGAUUACCCAGACUAACCUUUUUCAAUAUAUAGAUGGCAACAUUUAAUGGUGGUGGGAGGAACAUGAAAAAGAAAUACUAUGGUGCUACGGCCUUGGUGCAGAAGUAUGGUAGGCCAAACAUAUUUCUUACUAUGACUUGCAAUCUGAAUUGGGAUGAAAUAACCAUUGAGCUCAAGCCUGGCCAGACCUCUCAAGACUGACCUGAUCUUGUUGUAUGAGCUUUUCGAGCCAAGCUAGAUGAUCUAAAGAAAUAUUUGUUCAAUGAUCACACUUUUGGUGUUGUAUCCACAAAUGCCUAUAUUGUUGAGUUCCAGAAAAAGGGGCUACCACAUGCACACAUUUCUCUCAUGCGCUGCUAAAGGAUGAUGGCUUUAUUCAUGUGGGGACAAUUACCAAGAAUAUGUGUAUAAAGAUGUACUCACAUCAUAUACCUGAUAUGCGGUGUGAAAAAAGUUAUUGUUUUUUCGUUCUGCUUAUAUGAGAUGAAGAUUGCUGGAAGUAAAUUUGUUUUCCUUUUUAUUUAUGUACCACAUCUUGUGUAUGAAUCAAGUUCGUAUUUUUAAGCUGUCAGUAUUACAUAUCGUCAUUUUUUAA